rnacentral:rRNA from 1 species
UGGGGAAUCUUCCGCAAUGGACGAAAGUCUGACGGAGCAACGCCGCGUGAGGGAUGAAGGCUCUCGGGUUGUAAACCUCUGUCUUCAGGGAAGAAAAAAAUGACGGUACCUGAGGAGGAAGCCCCGGCUAACUACGUGCCAGCAGCCGCGGUAAUACGUAGGGGGCAAGCGUUAUCCGGAAUUAUUGGGCGUAAAGGGCGCGUAGGCGGGUAUUUAAGUCAGAUGUGAAAACCCAGAGCUCAACUCUGGACGUGCAUCUGAAACUGGAUAUCUUGAGGACAGGAGAGGAAAGUGGAAUUCCUAGUGUAGCGGUGAAAUGCGUAGAUAUUAGGAGGAACACCAGUGGCGAAGGCGACUUUCUGGACUGUAACUGACGCUGAGGCGCGAAAGCGUGGGGAGCAAACA